CGUAGGGUGCAAGCGUUAAUCGGAAUUACUGGGCGUAAAGCGUGCGCAGGCGGUUUUAUAAGUCUGAUGUGAAAUCCCCGGGCUCAACCUGGGAACUGCAUUGGAGACUGUAAGGCUAGAGUGUGUCAGAGGGGGGUAGAAUUCCACGUGUAGCAGUGAAAUGCGUAGAUAUGUGGAGGAAUACCGAUGGCGAAGGCAGCCCCCUGGGAUAACACUGACGCUCAUGCACGAAAGCGUGGGGAGCAAACAGGAUUAGAUACCCUGGUAGUCCACGCCCUAAACGAUGUCUACUAGUUGUCGGGUCUUAAUUGACUUGGUAACGCAGCUAACGCGUGAGGUAGACCGCCUGGGGAGUACGGUCGCAAGAUUA
rnacentral:rRNA from 1 species